rnacentral:misc_RNA from 1 species
AAGGAUACGGGGCGCAAGCCCCCCUCCUCCUCCUACCCUUUGUGAACAUACCUACAGUCGUUGCCUCGGCGGCGCCGGGCCUGCGUCACAGCAGCCCCCCGCGCUCCGGCGCGGGAGCAGCCCGCCGGCGGCCCCCCACACGAACUCUUGUCGUCAGCAGUGUUACCUUCUGAGAAGAAAAGCUUCUAAAUAAGUAA